rnacentral:rRNA from 1 species
UGGGGAAUAUUGGACAAUGGGGGCAACCCUGAUCCAGCCAUGCCGCGUGAGUGAUGACGGUCUUAGGAUUGUAAAGCUCUUUCACCGGAGACGAUAAUGACGGUAUCCGGAGAAGAAGCCCCGGCUAACUUCGUGCCAGCAGCCGCGGUAAUACGAAGGGGGCUAGCGUUGUUCGGAAUUACUGGGCGUAAAGCGCACGUAGGCGGACCAAUCAGUCAGGGGUGAAAUCCCGGGGCUCAACCCCGGAACGGCCUUUGAUACUGUUGGUCUAGAGUGUGAGAGAGGUGAGUGGAAUUGCGAGUGUAGAGGUGAAAUUCGUAGAUAUUCGCAGGAACACCAGUGGCGAAGGC